CACGUAGGCGGACUCUUAAGUCAGGGGUGAAAUCCUGGAGCUCAACUCCAGAACUGCCUUUGAUACUGGGAGUCUUGAGUUCGGGAGAGGUGAGUGGAACUGCGAGUGUAGAGGUGAAAUUCGUAGAUAUUCGCAAGAACACCAGUGGCGAAGGCGGCUCACUGGCCCGAUACUGACGCUGAGGUGCGAAAGCGUGGGGAGCAAACA
rnacentral:rRNA from 1 species